UACGUAGGUGACAAGCGUUGUCCGGAUUUACUGGGCGUAAAGAGCGCGCAGGCGGUCGAUCAAGUCGAGUGUGAAAGCCCCGGGCUCAACCUGGGAACUGCAUUUGAGACUGCUCUGCUCGGGUGCGGAAGAGGGAAGCGGAAUUUCCGGUGUAGCGGUGAAAUGCGUAGAUAUCGGAAGGAACACCAGUGGCGAAAGCGGCUUCCUGGUCCGACACCGACGUUCAGGCACGAAAGCGUGGGGAGCAAACAGG
rnacentral:rRNA from 1 species